AUGUGUCUGCAUUGUCACUGUUGACUGUGGAGAGUCCCACGUCCAUGUUUGACUAUUGUGAUGACUCUUUGGAGAGGGUCAAGUCUGCUCUUGACAUCUUUUCCAUGAUCAUCUACACAGUGACUUUCUUCCUAGGCUUGGCUGGCAAUGGCCUUGUCAUUUGGGUAGUUGGAUUCCACAUGUCCUGCACAGUCAACACGGUGUGGGUGGUACCUCAACCUGCCCGUGGCUGACUUCAUCAUCAUCUUCCCACUGCUUCUCCAGCUGGUUAUGGUAGCUCUGUAACCCUUUGGCCAGCUGCUCUGUAAACUCAAUAGCACCAUGUCUAUUUUUAACUUUCUGGCCAGUGUCUUCCUUCUGACCCUCAUCUCCAUGGACCACUGACUUGUGAUCCUGUGGCCAAUCUAGUCCUGGAACAAUUGCACACCAGCAAAGGCAACUCUGGGGCCCUUGAGGACCUGGCUUUUGGCAAUUUGUUUCUCUGUUCCCUACUUGAUCUUCAAGGAAACUCGUGGUGGAAAGUGUCACCCUCUUUGUACAACCAGUAUGAUCUGCAGAAUGAAACUCAAGGAAGUCACCAACUUUGGAAAGAGAUUAUCAUUCCAUGGCACCAAACGCUGGUCACAACAGCCCACUUUUUCUUUGGCUUCUUUCUCCCUCUGGCUAUCAUCACUGGCUACUACAUCCUUGUAGCCUUGAAGUUAAGAGAAAGGCAGCUGGUUAAGUUUAGCUGACCCUUCCAGGUCCUUGCGACUGUGGUAACCACCUUCUUCCUCUGCUGGUUGCCCUUGCAAGUGUCCCUGUGGCUGGACUUCACAUCAUUUCGGGAAGACAGAGAGGGCCUGAACCAGGUGGCCUUACUCCUAAGACCCCUGGCCUUGUCUAUGGCCUUUAUCAACAGCUGUCUCAAUCCAGUUCUCUAUGUCUUCAUUGGGCAUGAUUUCUGGGAGCACUUGCUCCACUCCCUGCUAGCUGCCUUAGAACGGGCACUUAGUGAGGAGCCAGAUAGUGCCUGA
rnacentral:lncRNA from 1 species